ACUCCUACGGGAGGCAGCAGUGGGGAAUAUUGCACAAUGGGGGAAACCCUGAUGCAGCGACGCCGCGUGAGUGAAGAAGUAUUUCGGUAUGUAAAGCUCUAUCAGCAGGGAAGAAAAUGACGGUACCUGACUAAGAAGCCCCGGCUAACUACGUGCCAGCAGCCGCGGUAAUAC
rnacentral:rRNA from 1 species